UUGGUAAAGUUCGUUAGUGUUAACGAAAGUUAUUUUGGAACUCUUAUAGUUGUAUUUUAUGCGUUCCUGCUCCCGCGAUGAAUCAUGCGUUUACUGUGCAACGGUCGCUUGCUUAGCAGCAUGCUUGUACAGCGAUUAUUGCCCGGUAUGUUCUUAGCGUGAUGUGUGACAUAGGCGUUGGUUUUAUAAUCUAAAUGAUUUUUCUGCAAGUUACGACAGUGCGACAGUACAAUGAGCGCCAGCGGCCGGGCGGGUGGGUGUUAUAGGAUUACAGCUCGACUACAACUGUGGAGACCGCUUUAUAUCAAACCUUAGCUGCUGGCUGCUGGGGCUCAAAGGAAAAUAUCGAUGCAUCGUGUGCUAUUAAGAACAUCUCAAAUACUUUGUUGAAUGGUUCAAGAUGUCCACAAGGCAGUCAAGCAAGGGACCAAUCAACCAUGAAGUAUUAUCUAUUCCAUGUAACUCUGUAGUUCAUCUACUGCUAUAAUUUAAUUAUGUUAUAGUUACGCUACAUGUACAUUAGAAUAUGUGUAAUGUUUGACUACAAAUAAAAUGCAAUUUUGCAUUGCA